rnacentral:rRNA from 1 species
GACGAACGCUGGCGGCGUGCUUAACACAUGCAAGUCGAACGGAGAGGCCCUGCUUUUGUGGGGUGCUCGAGUGGCGAACGGGUGAGUAACACGUGAGUAACCUGCCCUUGACUUUGGGAUAACUUCGGGAAACUGGGGCUAAUACCGGAUAGGAGCUCCUGCUGCAUGGUGGGGGUUGGAAAGUUUCGGCGGUUGGGGAUGGACUCGCGGCUUAUCAGCUUGUUGGUGGGGUAGUGGCUUACCAAGGCUUUGACGGGUAGCCGGCCUGAGAGGGUGACCGGCCACAUUGGGACUGAGAUACGGCCCAGACUCCUACGGGAGGCAGCAGUGGGGAAUAUUGCACAAUGGGCGGAAGCCUGAUGCAGCAACGCCGCGUGCGGGAUGACGGCCUUCGGGUUGUAAACCGCUUUCGCCUGUGACGAAGCGUGAGUGACGGUAAUGGGUAAAGAAGCACCGGCUAACUACGUGCCAGCAGCCGCGGUGAUACGUAGGGUGCGAGCGUUGUCCGGAUUUAUUGGGCGUAAAGGGCUCGUAGGUGGUUGAUCGCGUCGGAAGUGUAAUCUUGGGGCUUAACCCUGAGCGUGCUUUCGAUACGGGUUGACUUGAGGAAGGUAGGGGAGAAUGGAAUUCCUGGUGGAGCGGUGGAAUGCGCAGAUAUCAGGAGGAACACCAGUGGCGAAGGCGGUUCUCUGGGCCUUUCCUGACGCUGAAGAGCGAAAGCGUGGGGAGCGAACAGGCUUAGAUACCCUGGUAGUCCGCGCUGUAAACGGUGGGUACUAGGUGUGGGGUCCAUUCCACGGGUUCCGUGCCGUAGCUAACGCUUUAAGUACCCCGCCUGGGGAGUACGGCCGCAAGGCUAAAACUCAAAGGAAUUGACGGGGCCCCGCACAAGCGGCGGAGCAUGCGGAUUAAUUCGAUGCAACGCGUAGAACCUUACCUGGGUCUGACAUGGAUCGGGAGUGCUCAGAGAUGGGUGUGCCUCUUUUGGGGUCGGUUCACAGGUGGUGCAUGGCUGUCGUCAGCUCGUGUCGUGAGAUGUUGGGUUAAGUCCCGCAACGAGCGCAACCCUUGUUCACUGUUGCCAGCACGUUAUGGUGGGGACUCAGUGGAGACCGCCGGGGUCAACUCGGAGGAAGGUGGGGAUGACGUCAAGUCAUCAUGCCCCUUAUGUCCAGGGCUUCACGCAUGCUACAAUGGCUGGUACAGAGAGUGGCGAGCCUGUGAGGGUGAGCGAAUCUCGGAAAGUCGGUCUCAGUUCGGAUUGGGGUCUGCAACUCGACCUCAUGAAGUCGGAGUCGCUAGUAAUCGCAGAUCAGCAACGCUGCGGAGAAUACGUUCCCGGGGCU